AGCUAAUACCGGAUAAUAUUUUGAACCGCAUGGUUCAAAAGUGAAAGACGGUCUUGCUGUCACUUAUAGAUGGAUCCGCGCUGCAUUAGCUAGUUGGUAAGGUAACGGCUUACCAAGGCAACGAUGCAUAGCCGACCUGAGAGGGUGAUCGGCCACACUGGAACUGAGACACGGUCCAGACUCCUACGGGAGGCAGCAGUAGGGAAUCUUCCGCAAUGGGCGAAAGCCUGACGGAGCAACGCCGCGUGAGUGAUGAAGGUCUUCGGAUCGUAAAACUCUGUUAUUAGGGAAGAACAUAUGUGUAAGUAACUGUGCACAUCUUGACGGUACCUAAUCAGAAAGCCACGGCUAACUACGUGCCAGCAGCCGCGGUAAUACGUAGGUGGCAAGCGUUAUCCGGAAUUAUUGGGCGUAAAGCGCGCGUAGGCGGUUUUUUAAGUCUGAUGUGAAAGCCCACGGCUCAACCGUGGAGGGUCAUUGGAAACUGGAAAACUUGAGUGCAGAAGAGGAAAGUGGAAUUCCAUGUGUAGCGGUGAAAUGCGCAGAGAUAUGGAGGAACACCAGUGGCGAAGGCGACUUUCUGGUCUGUAACUGACGCUGAUGUGCGAAAGCGUGGGGAUCAAACAGGAUUAGAUACCCUGGUAGUCCACGCCGUAAACGAUGAGUGCUAAGUGUUAGGGGGUUUCCGCCCCUUAGUGCUGCAGCUAACGCAUUAAGCACUCCGCCUGGGGAGUACGACCGCAAGGUUGAAACUCAAAGGAAUUGACGGGGACCCGCACAAGCGGUGGAGCAUGUGGUUUAAUUCGAAGCAACGCGAAGAACCUUACCAAAUCUUGACAUCCUUUGACAACUCUAGAGAUAGAGCCUUCCCCUUCGGGGGACAAAGUGACAGGUGGUGCAUGGUUGUCGUCAGCUCGUGUCGUGAGAUGUUGGGUUAAGUCCCGCAACGAGCGCAACCCUUAAGCUUAGUUGCCAUCAUUAAGUUGGGCACUCUAAGUUGACUGCCGGUGACAAACCGGAGGAAGGUGGGGAUGACGUCAAAUCAUCAUGCCCCUUAUGAUUUGGGCUACACACGUGCUACAAUGGACAAUACAAAGGGCAGCGAAACCGCGAGGUCAAGCAAAUCCCAUAAAGUUGUUCUCAGUUCGGAUUGUAGUCUGCAACUCGACUACAUGAAGCUGGAAUCGCUAGUAAUCGUAGAUCAGCAUGCUACGGUGAAUACGUUCCCGGGUCUUGUACACACCGCCCGUCACACCACGAGAGUUUGUAACACCCGAAGCCGGUGGAGUAACCUUUUAGGAGCUAGCCGUCGAAGGUGGGACAAAUGAUUGGGGUGAAGUCGUAACAAGGUAGCCGUAUCGGAAGGUGCGGCUGGAUCACCUCCUUUCU
rnacentral:rRNA from 1 species